GCAAACUUGGUCAUUUAGAGGAAGUAAAAGUCGUAACAAGGUCUCCGUUGGUGAACCAGCGGAGGGAUCAUUACCGAGUUCUCCAACUCCUAGAACCCUCGCGAAUUUUACCGUGGUUGCUUCGGCGCGGCGGCCCCGGGGCAAAGCCCCCAACCCGCCCUUGGGCGUGGGUGGGCGGACUUACCCGGACGCAGGCCCCCGCCGGGGGCCCGACAAGAAACUCUCGCGUUUCCCCGCACCUCCCGGCCAGCCCAGGAGCGCGGACCCUCUGAUUAGGCCCCUAAAGGGCAGAGCGAAAAAUGAAUCAAAACUUUCAACAACGGAUCUCUUGGUUCUGGCAUCGAUGAAGAACGCAGC
rnacentral:misc_RNA from 1 species